GAUGAUUCCAAAGUCGGCUUGACCCGGAGAUCGAGGUGGUGAACUUGUGGUGGCUAUGGAAUCAAGAAGGGGCUCGGAGAGCUAUAUCAAAGAGUGGAGUUAGGUGUCACAAGAGGCUUGUGGAUUGCUCAACAAUCGAUGGUGAUCAUUUGGUGCAUGGAGAUACAAUAUUGGAGUAGGAGAUCGGAGUUGAAAAAUGUUUUGGAGGACAAAACUGCUAUUUGCCUUGGUGUUUGAAUUUGCACUAUAGUAAGACAGUGCAUGUUUUGUCCAGUUAGUAGGUGCUGGUUUUGAGGUACAUUGAACUGGAUUUGUCAUACCAAGUGGAAUGGGAUAAGUAGCUAUUGGUUAAUGUCAUGUACUGACCUCCUUUUUGUUAUAUGAAGUGGAAUGGCAUUAGUACUUGGUUUUGUGUAUCAAUUGGAAUUAGAGUAUUGAUCA